rnacentral:lncRNA from 1 species
ACGUUUUCCUUGACUUGACAGAUUCAUUCAAUUGAACCCACACUCAAAGGAGGACCACAAGCUCGGGGCUCGACGAAACGGAAAGUUUCAGCAUGUUGAAACUUCUUGGGGUUAGCAGUGAAAGAAAGAGCCCGGCAUUCAUUUCUUCAUGAAUAUUCAUAGCUGAGUCUACUAAAAGAGGGACCAGCCUCGUCGUGGUGAUUAGAGGACACCUCUGAUCGUUCACCUCUAAUGUGACACGUUCCCUCCCAGUUAUAUGAUCAACGGGAUCAGUCGGCUAGAGAGCGGGGCUAUUCUUCUUCCGUGGAGACAAAGUCGUCCCUUCUACUGACCGAACCCUCAGUUCGGGGGCCUUCGUCAACAUGUUACGAAGCUCCAGUCUUCGGUGGGUCACCAUUACUUGACUUAGAAAGGCGAACAUCU